ACGAUGAAGCCCUUCGGGGUGGAUUAGUGGCGAACGGGUGAGUAACACGUGGGCAAUCUGCCCUUCACUCUGGGACAAGCCCUGGAAACGGGGUCUAAUACCGGAUAACACUCUGUCCUGCAUGGGACGGGGUUGAAAGCUCCGGCGGUGAAGGAUGAGCCCGCGGCCUAUCAGCUUGUUGGUGGGGUGAUGGCCUACCAAGGCGACGACGGGUAGCCGGCCUGAGAGGGCGACCGGCCACACUGGGACUGAGACACGGCCCAGACUCCUACGGGAGGCAGCAGUGGGGAAUAUUGCACAAUGGGCGAAAGCCUGAUGCAGCGACGCCGCGUGAGGGAUGACGGCCUUCGGGUUGUAAACCUCUUUCAGCAGGGAAGAAGCGAAAGUGACGGUACCUGCAGAAGAAGCGCCGGCUAACUACGUGCCAGCAGCCGCGG
rnacentral:rRNA from 1 species